UAGUCCACGCCGUAAACGAUGGUCACUAGUUGUUGGGGUCUUGUACCUCAGUGAUUAAGAGAAAUUGAUAAGUGACCCACCUGGGGAGUACGAUCGCAAGGUUGAAACUCAAAGGAAUUGACGGGGCCCGCACAAGCGGUGGAGCAUGUGGUUUAAUUCGAUGAUACGCGAGGAACCUUACCUGGGCUUAAAUGUAGCGCGACGAUUUUCGAAAGAAAAUUUCUCUUCGGAGCGAACUACAAGGUGCUGCAUGGUUGUCGUCAGCUCGUGCCGUGAGGUGUCGGGUUAAGUCCCAUAACGAGCGCAACCCCUAUUGCUAGUUGCUAACAGGUAAUGCUGAGGACUCUAGUGAGACUGCCGGUGUAAACCGUGAGGAAGGUGGGGAUGACGUCAAAUCAGCACGGGCCCUUAUGUCCAGGGGCUACACACGUGUUACAAUGGUCGGUACAAAGGGGCAGGCUACCUGGUGACAGGGAUGCUAAUCUCUAAAACCGAUCUCAGUUCGGGAUCGAAGUCUGCAA
rnacentral:rRNA from 1 species